rnacentral:rRNA from 1 species
CGGUGCCUGUAGCAAUACAGGCAGCUGACGAGCGGCGGACGGGUGAGUAAUACGCAGGAACCUGCCCCUGGGCGGGGGACAACCAAGGGAAACCUUGGCUAAUACCGCAUAAACCCGGGAGGGCAAAGCUACCCGCGAGGGUGGUGCCUGGGGAGGGGCCUGCGUCCGAUUAGCUUGUUGGUGGGGUAAAGGCUCACCAAGGCGAUGAUCGGUAACUGGUCUGAGAGGACGACCAGUCACACUGGGACUGAGACACGGCCCAGACUCCUACGGGAGGCAGCAGUGGGGAAUAUUGGACAAUGGGGGCAACCCUGAUCCAGCGAUGCCGCGUGAGUGAAGAAGGCCCUCGGG